GAAUAUUGGACAAUGGGGGAAACCCUGAUCCAGCAAUGCCGCGUGGGUGAUGAAGGCCUUCGGGUUGUAAAGCCCUUUUGGCGGGGACGAUGAUGACGGUACCCGCAGAAGAAGCCCCGGCUAACUUCGUGCCAGCAGCCGCGGUAAUACGAAGGGGGCUAGCGUUGCUCGGAAUCACUGGGCGUAAAGCGCACGUAGGCGGCUUCUUAAGUCGGUGGUGAAAUCCUGGAGCUCAACUCCAGAACUGCCUUCGAUACUGAGAGGCUCGAGUCCGGGAGAGGUGAGUGGAACUGCGAGUGUAGAGGUGAAAUUCGUAGAUAUUCGCAAGAACACCAGUGGCGAAGGCGGCUCACUGGCCCGGUACUGACGCUGAGGUGCGAAAGCGUGGGGAGCAAACAGG
rnacentral:rRNA from 1 species